UACGUAGGGUGCAAGCGUUGUCCGGAAUUAUUGGGCGUAAAGAGCUCGUAGGCGGUUUGUCGCGUCUGCUGUGAAAACUGGGGGCUCAACCCCCAGCCUGCAGUGGGUACGGGCAGACUAGAGUGCGGUAGGGGAGAUUGGAAUUCCUGGUGUAGCGGUGGAAUGCGCAGAUAUCAGGAGGAACACCGGUGGCGAAGGCGGAUCUCUGGGCCGAUACUGACGCUGAGGAGCGAAAGCGUGGGGAGCGAACAGG
rnacentral:rRNA from 1 species